rnacentral:tRNA from 1 species
GGAGGUGUUAGGGGGCUGGGUCCCCUCAUAGUCUUCAAAACUAUCGCUGAUCCGAAAGGAUCUGGGUGGGUUCGAUUCCCAUACGCCUCC